GACAGAGGCCUCGAGCGUUAGGCGGAAUCACUGGGCUUAAAGCGUGUGUAGGCGGGCCCGUAAGUGUCUUGUGAAAUCCCACGGCUCAACCGUGGAACUGCUGGGCAUACUGCGGGUCUUGGGCCAACUAGGGGCAGCCGGAACAAGCGGUGGAGCGGUGAAAUGCGUAGAGAUGCGGAGGAACACCGAUGGCGAAGGCAGCCCCCUGGGCUAGCACUGACGCUCAGGCACGAAAGCGUGGGGAGCAAACAGG
rnacentral:rRNA from 1 species